rnacentral:rRNA from 1 species
CCUACGGGAGGCAGCAGUCGAGAAUCAUUCACAAUGGGGGAAACCCUGAUGGUGCGACGCCGCGUGGGGGAAUGAAGGUCUUCGGAUUGUAAACCCCUGUCAUGUGGGAGCAAAUUAAAAAGAUAGUACCACACGAGGAAGAGACGGCUAACUCUGUGCCAGCAGCCGCGGUAAUACAGAGGUCUCAAGCGUUGUUCGGAAUCACUGGGCGUAAAGCGUGCGUAGGCUGUUUCGUAAGUCGUGUGUGAAAGGCGCGGGCUCAACCCGCGGACGGCACAUGAGACUGCGAGACUAGAGUAAUGGAGGGGGAACCGGAAUUCUCGGUGUAGCAGUGAAAUGCGUAGAUAUCGAGAGGAACACUCGUGGCGAAGGCGGGUUCCUGGACAUUAACUGACGCUGAGGCACGAAGGCCAGGGGAGCGAAAGGGAUUAGAUACCCCAGUAGUC